CACACACACACACACACACACACACACACACACACACACACGCACGCACGCACGCACGCACGCACGCACGCACGCACGCACGCACGCACUCACGCACGCACGCGGGAGCGCUCCACAAAACAAUAGCUACAACGUCCUGGUAGUUACUUACGUAUAUAAGCUUGUCCCUCAGCUCGGCUAAAUCCAUUCCACCUUCAUCCCACAGAAAGGUCCGGGCCCCGCCGAGGUUCCAAGGAAGCUACCUUGGCCAGUUAAGAUCGAGUCUGUCUGCAUCUCUGCCUCAUUUUUUUCCCCUCACAGUGACAGAAGCUGACUAACACAGUACUCACGGUGUCAGGGGAACUUCAAGGAAGAAAACCAGCUUUAGACUGACAGACACCAAAGAACCAAACUCUGAGGUCUAAGCUCAAGGCUAGUGACCAAGUCCUUAACCUAUGGAUUUCGAGGGAGUCAAAGAUGUAUGUCAGAUGGAAUCUAUACCAGUGGACGAACCGUCCAUCCCUCUCCACAUGGGCUGGCUGUAUGGAUAUUGAGAAUCACAUGAGAAGAGACGUGUGUAUGCAGUUAAAUUCCCAGAAGAAAACAAAACCAAGCCAGGAAGCCUUUACUUGUUUGCUAGAAGCACUUCGCUGAUUCAUUUCUCAACAGCCCACUCCAGCUACACUCACGAUGCCCCGUGAAAUGUGUAAGAGCCCUCCGGCCUCAUUCCCAAUUCAGUGCGAAUCCACCUUGUCUUAAGAUUUUUAUUUUUGCCUGCUUUAAGUUUGGACAGCAGAGGCUGUCCUUCACCUACGCACACCUUGCCAUGGGGCGUCUUCAUUUUAUUUCUUGGAUGGAAAUCAGCUCUGCACAUACCACUGGCUCUGGAGGCCUGGAAGAUGAACAGGAACCGGACUUACAAUUGGUAUCCUAUGCCUUUCAACUCUUCAGAAGCCAAGGGGAAGGCAUGGGGGGUGCCAGGAAAACAAAGACAUUGCUUGUGAGCUCUUGGAUCUUAUCAGUGCGAGGAACUGUUUUAAAAAGUUCUGUCCUCCCGUGAGACAAAAAGAUAAGAAGUAGGCUAACUGCUUUGCUUUAAUCCAAGACCUUGGGAACCUCCUUCAUCUUCUAGCCAGAGAAAUAUGACUUGACUUUGUUGAGUUGUGGGUAGGGAGAAAUAAUCCUUGCACUGACCUAGAUCUGAUCAUAUGAUCUCCAGGUUGUUUGAAAAAGUCCUUCCGUGAAUGACAGCAAGAUGAGACCAAAGAUAAUGCGUCUGCAAAUGUUUAUUUCUUUCCGGUCAUUAUGGCUGGAUAAACAACUAAACUUCAGUGAAAUAAAACAGACAAAUCCUGUUGAUAAUGAAUUUGGAUUCGGCACAGCACAGGUGGCUUAUCUCACUAGAGUAGGAGACAGGGAGUCUGAGAGCUGGACUCUUCUGCAGCCAGCUAGCCCAAUUAGUCAUUCACCUGCCUCACCCAGCAGACAUUAGUAUAAUCUCUCUCCAUAGGGCUUUCCCAUGUGUCUGUAUUGUUGGCUUUGCCUAUGUAUCCUCACAUCAAAGAAAGUGCUAGGCUCUAUAUUAGCCCUCCCGAGUAAGUUGACACAAAAUAGAAAGAAUUAUUUUUUCUCAAAAAGUUCCAAGCUCAUAAAAUAUUAAUAUUGAUCCCAAAAUUUCAUGGAGUUUUCACAGACCAGGGUUUUGAAGUUCUAAAAGUAUCAUGCUAAAAGCAUCGAAUUUUGUUGAUUGGCUUUAUUUUUUAUCAGCCUUGGAAUAUUGGAACCUUAGACUAUUAGAUAAUUGAGUUUCUGCAUGUCAAAUAACCUGCUGUGCUAGAUGUUUUGUGCUAUGUCAACUUGACACAGGCUAGGGCCACUUGGGAAGAGGGAACCUCAAUUGAGAAAAUGCCUAUAUCAGAUUGCCUGUAGGCAUGUUUUUAGAGUCUUUUCUUGAUUUAUGGUUGAUGUGGGAGGGCCUAGCCCACUGUGGGAGGUGCUAUUCCUGAGAAGGUGGUCCUGAGUUGUAUAAGAAAUCAGGCUGAGCAAGUCAUGGGCAAUAACUCAGCAAGCAUCACUCCAUGGCUUCUGCUUCAGGUCCUACCUCUAGUUCCCUGUCCUGAUUUCCCUCAGUGAUGGAGGGUGACUUGAGGGCUGUAAGAUAAAAUAAACCAUUUCCUCCUCAAGCUGCUUUUUGUCUUUGGUGUUUUUAUCACAGCAGUAGAAAUACUAAGACUACAAAUUGGUACCAGAAGUGGGGUCUGACUGACACUAGAGGAGUUGAUGUUCAAGGGUGACUGUACAGAGAGCUAGGUAGAUGCUGCAUCUCCUGUUGUGACCUAGCAUCAAAGGCACACAGAAUCACUUCUGACAUGUUAUAAUGGUAUAGGCAUUCUUAAACUUACCUAUAUUCACUGAUAGGGUGAUUGGUGCCACAUUUCCAGGGUAGGAUUACCAACCACAUUGUGAUGGGAAUAUGAAUGAGGACAUUCAUUCAAAAACACAACCUGCUAGCUGUAGGGUUCUAUAUGCCCUUUCAUAUACCCUUAAUUUUGGUAAAGCAUCCCAUCAAUAUUACAUUCUCCUUAUUCGCCUACCUCGGUAAGCCUUCCCCCUCCCCAUAUUCCUCCAAACUCCACACUGCAUGUGCUUUACUCUCCAUGCCCCACUUCAGACUUCUUCCCUGCCUCCCAACUCUCAUGGUGCCUCUCUUGAUGUGUGGCCUCUUCUGAUACUCACCUCAACUCUAACACAGCUCUCUGAAGAUGUGAGUCUAAGAUUUGCAUAUGAAUGAAAAGAAGCCACUUUUCUUUCUGGGACCAGAUUGCCUCAUUCAGUAUAAUAUUUUCUAGUUACCUUCAUUUUUCUUUUGCAAAUUUCAUUUUUAAGUGCUGAAUAGAGUCCCAUUGUGUAGGUGUACCAUGUUUUUAUAAUCCACUUAUUCAGAACAUCCAGUUGGCUCCACUUCCUAGGUCUCGUGGCUAGUGCAGCAAUAAAUACAGAUAUGUAGGUACCUCUUUACAGCCCCUUCCAAGGAGUGGUUGCAUCAUAGAGCAGAUCCACUUUUAACUUUCUGAGAAAACCACACCGGUCUAAAUAGUGCCUGUAACAGUUUAUAAU